rnacentral:rRNA from 1 species
GAUUUCUGGUCUGUUACCAGUGACCGGCCACGGUUUCGUGUGUGUGUGUGACUGGUACUGGCCAUCUAAUCGACUCGUUGGGUACACUCUUCAUUGAGCGUAUCCAGGGGACGAUUCAUUUACUUUGAAAAAAUUAGAGUGUUUCAAGCAGGCUCAAUGCUAUGAAUACAUUAGCAUGGAAUAAUAAUUUAGGACUUCGGUUCUAUUUUGUUGGUUUCUAGAACUGAAGUAAUGAUUGAUAGGGAUAGUUGGGGGUGCUAGUAUUCAGCGGCCAGAGGUGAAAUUCUUGGAUUCGCUGAAGACUAACUUAUGCGAAAGCAUU